CCUGGAGGGGAUGUCAAUCCAUCACUGAACCUCUGGCAGUAUCUGAACCUCACCCUUGCAGGAGUGAGGCUACAGAAAUUAAUUCAUGCCAUUAAAAAAUGGAAUGCCCUUUAGCUAAGGGCAUGUUCAUACGCAACACUGAGGGAUUCUCUGUGGGAAUUUGCUUGUCGCCACCAGACCAGACAGCCACAUUCUCUGACUCUGAUUUUCCUGGACACCUCCAGCACACCCACAGGAAGCACUGAUGUGGGGGAACCAAAGCUUCCUGCUUUCCUUUCUACCUGGGCAAGCCGAUGUCCUUAUGCAUUGUCCUGGCAAAUCUCCUGCUCUGCAGAGCUACAUUUUGCUUGUUUAUUUAGAGAUGAUGUUCUUGCAUUUAUCUGAAGAGGAACAGGAGCUUCUGAAGAGCUUCUCUGUUUGUGGGUUGGACCCAAUAGCUCCUCGGAAGGCUUCUUGGGGACCUCACCCCUUCUCACUGCUGACUUUACUGGAUGGCAUCCACAGCCUGUGUGAAAGUAUGGCAAGAUCGGGGUGUGCAGGCGCAAAGUUGAGGUGCUCUCCUGCGUGUCAAAUCAACAUGUCUGAACCCUACACACCGAAUAGUAUUUUCAAAAGCAAGUCUAUGAAGGCCUCAGGGGGAAUAUCGACCAGUAAAUGCGUGUGCGUGGGGUGUUGUUAUCCAGCGUCUGUGGUGGACGCAUAGGAUGCAUGCCGGAGAAGGUGCCGGUCCAUUCACAUGGACAGUGUCAUAAGCAGAGGCAGCCUUAGGACAGAGCCAUUGAUCUGCUGACAGGGCCUGGAGGAGCUUCAGCUACCCAGUGUUAGCCACAUCGCAUCCCAGGACAACUCACCCUGUCCUCAACAACAGCUGAAUCGAGCAGGACGCGGACAAGGCUAGCGUGCUUUGAUGUACUAUGGUAACAAGGCCACUCCGAAGGGCCACACAGCGUGACUCCGAGCCAGUUCAUCUCCGAGACCUGUCCCCUCAGUGCCACUUUUUCUCAGUCAGAACUGCUCAAAGGUUAGGUGGAAUUUCAACAGAAGAUCUCAAGAAGAUCAUCUUACCUGAGUUAACCAUUGGGACGCUAGACUCUACUAAGAAACCUUUAUUCUUAUCAUUCAUAUUUCUCCCUUCUGAAAUAAAGUGAUAAAAUAAAGCAAAAUUAAUUGGAGCACAGUUCCUGCCAAAGGAAACUAUGGCAGGUUAAAGCUAAAUGAUGUGUUUGAUUGGAGCCUCUCCAUAGAGACAGUGGGUUAAUCUUCUCACUGGCUUCUUCCUUCUCACAAUGACGCUGCCUUGCACUGAAAUAAUUUAGCAAAAAACUCAGCUGAAAAGGUCUGAAAAGGCUCCCACAUCGACCGUUCCCUGCCAAGAGGCCUUUUGCAGUGUUAUACAGGAGCGACAUUUCAGGGAAUAGAAAACUAUUUCUGCUAAAGAAGAAGAGAAGGUAAUACAUAUCACAGAUGGAAAUGCUGAAGAUUUUCUUAUUUUCUUUGGCCUUGCAGACUUAAUAGAGCUAACGCUGAAAGGCAUGCAAGUUCAUAAACUUCAUGAACAGAGUAACAUGGAUAUGGGAUACCAGGUAUGCUGAUACUGAUGCCGGUUUCUGGAAUAAUACUCAUCACCCCUCUCAGCCUUGUUUUAUUCCACAUGCUGCAGCACAUCCUGCACUUUUUAAUGGCAAAGCCCCUGGGCAGAGAUACACCAGUCACAAAGACAGUGGGGCGUGAGUGCAGAGCUAAGCCAUCAGUCUGGUGAUCUGGCGAGUGCUGGGUAAUCAUGAGGAGUACUGGGUCAUCACGAGGAGUACUGGAUAAUCAUGAGAAGUGCAGGGUAAUCAGCAGGAGUGUUGUGUGAUCCUGAGGAGUGCUGGGUAAUCCUGGGGUGUGCUGGGUAAUCAGAAGGAGUACUGAGUAAUCUUGAGGAGUGCUGGGUAAUCAGAAGGAGUACUGAGUAAUCUUGAGGAGUGCUGGGUAAUCAUGGGGAGUACUGGGUAAUCAUGAGAAGUGCUGGGUAAUCAUGAGGAGUACUGGGUAAUCAGGAGGAGUAGUAGGUAAUCAUAAAACGCUCUCUGCGAGCUUCUCACA